rnacentral:rRNA from 1 species
CCUACGGGUGGCAGCAGUGGGGAAUAUUGCACAAUGGGGGAAACCCUGAUGCAGCGACGCCGCGUGAGUGAAGGAGUAUUUCGGUAUGUAAAGCUCUAUCAGCAGGGAAGAACAAUGACGGUACCUGACUAAGAAGCACCGGCUAACUACGUGCCAGCAGCCGCGGUAAUACGUAGGGUGCAAGCGUUAUCCGGAUUUACUGGGUGUAAAGGGAGCGUAGGCGGCGCGUUAAGUCUGAAGUGAAAGCCCGCGGCCCAACCGCGGAACUGCAUUGGAAACUGGAUAGCUUGAGUGCUGGAGGGGUAGGCGGAAUUCCUAGUGUAGCGGUGAAAUGCGUAGAUAUUAGGAGGAACACCAGUGGCGAAGGCGGCCUACUGGACGGUGACUGACGCUGAGGCUCGAAAGCGUGGGGAGCAAACAGGAUUAGAUACCCUUGUAGUC